UAGGGAAUCUUGGACAAUGGGCGAAAGCCUGAUCCAGCGACGCCGCGUGGGGGACGAAGGCCCUCGGGUCGUAAACCCCUGUUGGGAGGAAAGAAGCCGGCCGCAAGGUCGGUGACGGUACCUCUCGAGGAAGCCCCGGCUAACUACGUGCCAGCAGCCGCGGUAAGACGUAGGGGGCGAGCGUUAUCCGGAUUCACUGGGCGUAAAGGGCGCGCAGGCGGUUACGUAAGUCCGGCGUGAAAUCCCAUGGCUUAACUGUGGAACUGCGUCGGAUACUGCGUUGACUUGAGGAUGGUAGAGGCCAUUAGAACUAGCGGUGUAGCGGUGAAAUGCGCAGAUAUCGCUAGGAAUGCCGGUGGCGAAGGCGGAUGGCUGGGCCAAUCCUGACGCUGAGGCGCGAAAGCUAGGGGAGCGAACCG
rnacentral:rRNA from 1 species